GGAAAGGAAAGGAAAGGGCGGGAAAGGAAAGGAAAGGAAAGGAAAGGAAAGGAAAGGAAAGGAAAAAAAAAAAAAAAAAAAAAAAAAAAAAAAAAAAAAAAAAAAAAAAAAAAAAAAAAAAAAAAAAAAAAAAAAAAAAAAAAAAAAAAAAAAAAAAAAAAAAAAAAAAAAAAAAAAAAAAAAAAAGGAAGAAAAAAAAAAAAAAAAAAAAAAAAAAAAAAAAAAAAAAAAAAAAAAGG
rnacentral:lncRNA from 1 species